GGGGGAAUCUUCCGCAAUGGGGCGAAAGCCUGACGGAGCAACGCCGCGUGAGUGAUGACGGCCUUCGGGUUGUAAAGCUCUGUGAUCGGGGACGAACGGUCCGUAAGCUAAUACCUUAUGGAAGUGACGGUACCCGAAUAGCAAGCCACGGCUAACUACGCGCCAGCAGCCGCGGUAAUACGUAGGUGGCAAGCGUUGUCCGGAAUUAUUGGGCGUAAAGCGCGCGCAGGCGGCUUUCUAAGUCCAUCUUAAAAGUGCGGGGCUUAACCCCGUGAUGGGAUGGAAACUGGGAAGCUGGAGUAUCGGAGAGGAAAGUGGAAUUCCUAGUGUAGCGGUGAAAUGCGUAGAGA
rnacentral:rRNA from 1 species